UAAAGGUAUUCCGGUAGACGAUGGGGAUGCGUUCCAUUAGAUAGUAGGCGGGGUAACGGCCCACCUAGUCUUCGAUGGAUAGGGGUUCUGAGAGGAAGGUCCCCCACAUUGGAACUGAGACACGGUCCAAACUCCUACGGGAGGCAGCAGUGAGGAAUAUUGGUCAAUGGGCGCAGGCCUGAACCAGCCAAGUAGCGUGAAGGAUGACUGCCCUAUGGGUUGUAAACUUCUUUUAUAAAGGAAUAAAGUCGGGUAUGGAUACCCGUUUGCAUGUACUUUAUGAAUAAGGAUCGGCUAACUCCGUGCCAGCAGCCGCGGUAAUACGGAGGAUCCGAGCGUUAUCCGGAUUUAUUGGGUUUAAAGGGAGCGUAGAUGGAUGUUUAAGUCAGUUGUGAAAGUUUGCGGCUCAACCGUAAAAUUGCAGUCGAUACUGGAUAUCUUGAGUGCAGUUGAGGCAGGCGGAAUUCGUGGUGUAGCGGUGAAAUGCUUAGAUAUCACGAAGAACUCCGAUUGCGAAGGCAGCCUGCUAAGCUGCAACUGACAUUGAGGCUCGAAAGUGUGGGUAUCAAACAGGAUUAGAUACCCUGGUAGUCCACACGGUAAACGAUGAAUACUCGCUGUUUGCGAUAUACGGCAA
rnacentral:rRNA from 1 species